rnacentral:lncRNA from 1 species
GGGAGGGUGUGAGUUGUCUUGUUACUCUUGGUCAGAUGCUUUUCUGUCCAAUUUCCUUAUCUAACAUUCAUGGAUUCUUUCCAAGUUUCUGGAUUUUAUAUAUGAUAAUGAGUUGUUACCAUGUCACAAGUUUGCUAUCACAACUAAUUCAUUCCAUGGUGAAGCCAAUAUUUCAGAAAGAAUUUAAAUAAUAAAAACUGAAAAGCAUUUCCUCAGGGGAAAAAAAAAAUGAAAAAG